AAGCAUCUUAGCCUAAUAUUUCAUCAAAUAUCAGACACUUUCUCUCAUUUCUAGUUUUCUCUGCAGGCAAAUUAAGAAGGUUAAAAAUGGUGUUCUCGGCCAUACUAAGUUGCUUUGUUCCAUCUUCUUCCUCGACCCGAGUCUUCAAUGAUGCUGGUGGGUCUAGUUUGAAGGAACCUAAGAGCAAGUCAUCGAAAUCUUCAUCAAGAGCUCCGAUCCCGGUCUCUUACUUCCCUGUUAACUCCUACCUCUCUCGCUUGUAGUGAUUAAUUUGAUCGCAAGUUGGAGUUAGACUUUGAAGAGUACCAAUGGAUUAUUGAUUCAGUUUAUGUAUUAUAUGAUGGGGUUCCUCAUCAUGCAGUUGCUUGAGGAGUGAUGAUGGAGUUUGUUUUAAUGUACAGUUUGAUGAUUAAUUUGCAAUAAUUAGAUUCAAGAAUAUUGUUAAUUUCCUCCAACUGCAUGCAAUGAAACAACUCUUUUUAAUAUAAAGUUGGGUAUGAUGAUACCAUGAAAUUACCUGCAACCAAAUAAGACAUUAACCCCAACUGAACUUCCUUGUUGUUUCUCAAUUUGAUCAGUAAAGGAGGAAGUCUUAAAAAAGCCAAUGGAAAAUGACCCCACCAUUUUAGAGAAACACUAGGUGAAAUUUGAUCCACAGAAUCUUCUAUACAUAUUUUAAAGUUGUGAGUGUCUCUUAAACCUAUAAUGGACAAUAUCUAUGUGAGAGAUGACAAGUUAUUAUAAAUAAUAUUAGAGUUAAUUCUUUAUCCGUGAAAGUUUGUUUGACCUUGUAAAUGGUUUUUAUCUUUUUGUUAUCAUAAUUCUAUGCAUUACAAUGAGGACGUUGCGUCUUUCUGAAGGCCACGCUAUAUAUGUAUUGAUUUUUCUUCAUUUUAUAAGCAUUCUGAAGGCCACGCUAUAUAUGUAUUGAUUUUUCUUCAUUUUAUAAGCAUUUUUUAAAGUCAUGAGUGUUUAUGAGGCACAAAACGGAUCACUACAAAUAUUUAUAUAGAUUUGCAUUUAAAUCCAAUAAAAUAUUAAAGAAAAGACUAAAACGGAACUUCGGUAUUGUAACUACUUAUGACCUAGUAGUAAACCUGAUUUUAAUAUAUCAUAUUAGAUUAUUUAUUUUUUAAAUACAUAAAUUGUUAGGUAAUAGAUCAACGAUAUAUACUAGACCGUUAACAUUAUCUAUAUAUUUAUCUUUGAAUUGAGCAGCAACAGCGAUUGACAUGCUUGUUGGUGGGACCUAAUUCAACAAUGAAUUGUAUUAUCACAUAUUUUAAUACUUAAAGUUUCUAUAAUUAAUUAGUCUUUGAAAAUGAUACAUAUUUAUUGUAGAGGCUACAACAAAAGCCUCUACAAUUAUUUUUAAGAGAAAUUAUUUAAGGGAUUUUUUGUAAUAAGAACAUGAAAUAAUAAUUUAUUUUUUUUCAUAUGUUAUAUUCUAACAAAAAAAAGUCCUUUAUUUUUUCAAAAAAGCGUCUAUUUCAUAAAUUAAUAUUAGUGAUUUUCUAGAUUUUUAAAAAUUUACUAAGCACAAUAUUAAAAACUUUUGUAUUCUAGGGAAGUCAUGAGACUUGGUCAAGAUAUGGAAUAUGGGAUGACGUUAAGCCUGAGAAAGAAAAUAUAAUUUCCCGGAAUAAGUAAAAGUAGGAUGUCUAAGGAAGAAAGCAUGAGAAUCACAUUGGAUGAUUAGUUUUAUCCUAUCAUAUUUAUUUAAUCUUAUUCCAAAGGAGACUUUAACUAAUAUGUUUUAAUUUUCUUCAUUGUUUUGGUCCCACCCUCUAUUUGUUUGUUACCUAGACCUUCCCAUUUUUGCUAGAAGGUUUUCUUCUUCUGGGUCAGACUAAUCAAAAUUUCAAAAGUUUAGUUGUUGGGUCUUUUUCUAUAGUCAGAUCAAGGUAGCAGCAGCUGCCACGAUUGUCACAGGAAGCUCAAGGGAAUCAACCAUCUCAUAUAUUUAUCGUUUAGCUUUCCUUGAUAUGCAAGUAAACCAACCCUACUACCAUUUCAGAUCUGCAUUAUAAAUAGAGAAGCAUAUGUUAGCCUAAUAUUUCAUCAAAUAUCACACACUUCCUCUCUUUUCUAGUUUUCUCUGCAGGCAAAUCAAGAAGGGUUAAAAAUGGUGUUCUCAGCCAUACUAAGUUGCUUUGUUCCAUCAUCUUCCUCGUCCCGAGUCUACAAUGAUGCUGGUGGGUCUAGUGUGAAGGGCCCUAAGAGCAAGUCAUCGAAAUCUUCAUCAAGAGCUCCGAUUCCGGUCUCUUACUUCCCCGUUAACUCCUACAUCUCUCGCAUGUAGUGAUUAAUUAAUUUCACUGCAAGGUGGAGUUAGAAUUUGAAGAGUAUGAAUGGAUCAUUGAUUCAGUCUAGGUAUCAUAUGAUGGGGUUCUUCAUCAUGCAGUCGCUCAAGGAGUGAUGACGGAGUUGGUUUUCAUGUACAGUUUGAUGAUUGAUUUGCAAUAAGUUGAUCGAAGAAUACUGUAUUAGAUCUUCAUCUUGUUAAUUUCCUCCAACUGCAUGCAAUAAACAGUUCUUUUUAAUAGAAAGUUGGGUACGAUGAUACCAUGAAAUUACCUGCAACCAAAUAAGACAUCAGCCCCUACUAUGAAAAUUGAGAAACAACAAAAGAGUUCACUUGGGGUUUCCAUUGGAAAGAAUCGGUACUUGAAAUAUUGGCAAUCAGUGAUUACCAUAUGUAUAACUGCUAAGUAAACCCUAGAAUCAGUUAGGGUUUAUCAUCAUCGAAGACAAAGGUUGUUCGAAUCAUAUAUUAAGCAAAAACUACUUACAUUAUACAGAUGAUGAUCAGUAAGGGAAGAAGUCUUAAAAAAGCCAAAGGAAACUGAACCUACGAUUUUGGAGAAAUUAGGGUGUAAUUUGAUCCACAAGGUGAUGACUGAUGACUAGAUAUGCAUGGUGGGAUUUGCCCCAGCGGUCCAUGAUGAUAGAAGGCUAUUAUCCUUUUACACAAGCACUAAAAGAAAAAGGAUAAAUUAAGUCGCCUUGCUUUGUCCUUUCAUCCGCCCAAAAUUCUUGCAAUAUGCACCUCAAAUCAAACCUAAGAGUAUCAAUCACUCUCUUUCUCUCCAUCCAUUAAAAAGUAUUAAUUUCAAACUUGUGAUAUCUCACAUGUUGGAAGUAGAUUUGUAUAGGUUUUUUAAUUUUGUAGAUGUACUUUAAAGUUGUGAGUGUCUAUUAGACUCACAAGGAAUAAUAUCUAAAUGAGAAAUAGCAAGUCAUUACAAAUGAUAUUAAAGUUGAUCAUCGAUCUUAAUAUGAGAGUUUAUUUGACCCUGCAAGAGAUCUUUUUAUUUCUAUGAUCUUAUGAGAUACAACGAGAACGUUAUGCACUUAUAUGAGGGUGUAUUAUAUAUGUAAUGAUUCUUCUUCAUCUUAUAAAUAACUUUUAAAGUUGUGAGUGCGUAUGAGACCCAAAACGGAUCAGUACAAAUAUUUAUAUAAACUUAUAUUUAAAUCCAUUAAAAUAUUAUUUGUUAUAUUAAAAUAAAUUGUUGUUUUUUAAAUGAAUUGGAAAUAUUUUGAAGUGUUUGUUCAUAAAGAAUUUUGAUAAAUAAUUGAAGAUAUGAAGAUUAAUUGUAGGGGACUCGUGACACGUAUUCAACAUAUCAAAUAUAAUUACUGAAUAAACAGCCAAAAAAAUAAAUGUAAAAAAUAAAAAAAAUACCAGGGCACCAGCUGAGAGAUGUGGAAGGGUCUUUAUCGGCCAAGAAGAGGAUGAGAUUGGCCUUGUUCUUCGGCGCUUCUGAUCUGAACUUCUCCAGCACGCCGUCGAACGUCGACACAGUGGCGUCCACCAUUUUCAGCGGCGUAUUCGCUUUUUCUCAGGGGUAUUUUGGGAAAUCUAGACAAUAUCAUUGCUUGACAACAAUGGCAUUCGUCUGUGCUCCUUUUACAGGUUUUAAGCUAAAAUUUGCCCACCCACAGGUGGUGAAAUUCCUGAUAUGCCCUUCAUAUUGGAGUCACCAAAAUCUCCAUGACAUAGUAUAUCACAUUUAUGUCAAAUUUGGAGCCAAUGAUAUAUUUUGUGGUUUUAAAGUUCAUUAUAUACUUAGAAAGGCUUAGAAUACAAAUUUGAUAAGGUCAAACAAUGAUAUUUUUCUAAAAAUUUUUGUCCUACGAGGUGGGCACACAUACCUAGAAAAGCCUAAAUCCUUGACAUUAUGCAAUCUUACUUUACAAGAUGGUAGCAAAUAAUUAAUUAUUUUUCAAACACCGUAUCCCCUUAAAUAUUAUAGUUGGUUCAAUAAGUGGUAGAGUCAGGAUUUCAAUUAGGGGACUAACUCUUAAGACAUAUGUAAAUUUUGCUGAUCAUAAAAGAUGUGGGCUUUGACCCAAUAACCCAUCCUUGGCAUUUUCUAAGGGGGGGCAUAAGUUGGUUUGGGGUGGGAAGUGGAGAUGGCUGGUUUCACCCUUGGGUUCAGUCAUUGUAUUGAUUGAUCCAAUGAAGAAUAAUAUUUAGUAUUGACAUUUGCCUUCAUAAAUGAGCUUAAUAGUAUUAUCUUGGUGAGUGCAAUCCAAUAAUUAACUUGAUAUGUGUUUUUCAUAAAAUUUUAUGUAUCUUUUUAUAUUUGCCCUUUACUACCAAAUGUCAUUGUUCAUUUUGAAUUUUUUUCUUCUAUAAUGAAUAAAUACUUUUAAUUUAAUAUAAAAUUAUAAUUAAUCAUAUCAUUUUUUAGAACAUGUAGUAAUAGUAAAUAUGUGUUAACGUCUUUGAAUCCGGGACUCGCUUUCUAUGAUAAAAAGAAUAUACCAUUAACAUUAUGAAAUGAUUUUUGAAACUCCCACCAAUCAACAUUAAUUAGUUAGUCCUUUUUAGUUAGAGAGUUAAUUUUACUAAGACCCCUAGGGUGUAAAUACGUACACAUAACCAUUAUUAAUUUUAAAUUUUGUCACUAAGUGUCUUUGUAAAUUUAUUUUGUUUAUACAAUUUAUUUUUUAAAGAGAUUUUAAGGAAGUGUAAUUAAUAAUUUUUUGAAAAAUAAGUUUUAUUCUUAAAUUUUUUUUAUAUAUGAAAUACAUUUAUAGAAGUGCUAAUUGAUAGAAUUUGAAACUAAUGAUGGUUUAAUGUAUUUAUACUGAACCUUGGGAUGUGAAUGAAACUAGCCCUUAGCGAAAUAGGGUUGAGGAGUUAAACAUGCAUGGGUUGAUUGUAUUAAGGAUGAAAAGUACUAUUAAGUUCUUGGAGACCAAGCAAAACUUGGUUAAUACUCCUAGAAUCAUCAGGUGGUCGGACUAGAAGUCAAAAGUUUUGGAGGAAUUGAAAACGACUUCCUCAAACUACAGACACAAGUGUGGGAAACAGGAAGGAAUUAAUUAACCAUCUAAGCUGGGGAGAUGGGGACACAACAUUUGAAUUUCCUUGCUAUACAAGAAAAUUAGUCCAACUUCACAGUAUAACACAUCAUCAUCUUCAUUCAAAUGUCAUCACUACUCACACUUCAGCUAGCUAGCUCUUGGCUUCUCAAACACUCACUUCCCUUAACUUCUGAAUAGAAAAAUUAAGGAGAAUUAAGGGUGAUUCAACAAUGGUGCUCUCAGCCAUUCUAAGUUGUUGUCUGCCAUCAUCAUCGUCGACUCUGCCUCGGGUGUCCGAUGAUGGUGGUGGGUCAAGAUGUGACAUUAGGCAAUCUUACCUUGCAAGAUUGUGGUUAGAUUGUAGAAUAAGCUAGCUAAUUUACUAUUUAUCAAACACUUUUUUCCCUAUAAAUUGAACUUUUUAAGUUAACUUAAGCCCCAUCUAAAGUUAUUAUAGCUACUAAUUAGCAAUCACAUCUCCCUUUCUAAUGGGAUUCUUAUCAACCAUUUUCAGGUGUUUGAUGUCUUGUUUUUCAAGCAAUGAAGCAAGAAAAUCUCCAGAGAAGCCUAAGAGAAAAUCAAAGUCAUCUAGGGCUCCCAUUGUGGUCUCUUCCUUCCCUGUCAACUCAAAUCUUUCUUGCUUAUAGCAUGCUGAAAUUUGAAAUGUAGUUGGUUCAAUCAUGGUAUGGACUGAUCUAUAAUUAAUGGCAAUGAAGCCAUGGUAUUGAUAGUUGCCUUUGCAAAUGAGCUUAAUGUUCUUAUAUAUCUUGGUGAGUAUAAUUCUAACUAUUUGAUCUGUCUUUUGAAUAUGAUUUAUGGUAUUUUACCCUACUGCAUGCCUUUGCUUUGGUUACCUCCUUGUGUGAACUGCCCAAUGGUCAUAAAGAUUAAUGAGUUUAAGCCUUGUUACGUUUACCCAUGCACAAAUUUGUAAUGUCAUUCACUUUGAAUUAAUUUCUUGGUGUAGACGUAUGAAACAAAAACUCUUUAUAUGAUACAAAAUUAUAGCUCUUAUCAUUUUUAAGACACGAUGAUGGAGGACGACAUCAUUCACUGCUUGAAGACCAAGCAAAACUUGGGGAAUACUCCUAGAAUUAUCAGGCGCCACACAAGUCAAAAAGUUAUGAAGGAAUAUUGAAAAUGGCUUCCUCAAUCUAGAGUCAAAGCAGCCACUAGUGUAGGAAACAGGAAGGAAUUUACCAUCUAAACAAUAUCACAAGCUGGGAAGAUGGGCACAUACCAUCUGGCUUUCCUUGCUAUGCAAGAAAAUGAGCCCAACUUCCAUUUCAAAUUAAACUUCCACUAUAAAUAUGUAGAAUCGUCUUCAUUCAAAGCUCAUUAAUACAAACUCACACUUCAGCUCUUGGCCUCUCAAACCACUUUGUUUAAUUUCUGAAAGCAGAAGGAGAAGGGUGAUUGAUCAACAAUGGUGUUCUCAGCCAUCAUAAGUUGUUUUCUGCCAUCAUCAUCGUCAUCUCGGGUGUCUGAUGAUGCUGGUGGGUCAGGCUCAAAGGUGCCUUCCAUGGGGAAAGACAAGAUGAGCAAAUCAAAUUCUUCAGGAGCUCCAAUAGUUCUUUCUUACUUUCCAUUGAACUCCUAUCUCUCUCGCUUGUAGUUGUACUACUAAUUGCAUUCUGAGGAAAGGGGAGUUGAAUUUGCAGAAGGUAUCAAUGGUUAAUUUCUUCAGCUCAAUGAUGUUAUGUGGAUCAGUUAAUUAAUGGGGCUUCUUGAUCAGUCAGUUCAGAGACCACACACCAUGGGGCAGUUGCUUAUGGGGUGGUGAUGUUGAAGGAAGAACAGCACUCAUGUACAUAUAGUUUGAUGAUUGAUUUGUAGUUUGAUUGAAGCAUAUCAUGUAAGAUCAUGGGUCCUUUAUUUUUAUUAGUAAUAUCCUGAUGAAUAAAAUUCAAGUGUAAUCCAAUUGUUUGAUUUGUGUUUUGGUAAGAGUUCUUAUUUCAUGUUAAUCCAUAUCCAAAUUCUUGUGCUUAACUUAAUAUAUUCAACAUAUUUUCAAUUAUAUCUUCGAAUUCAAUAAAAAAGACGAAGAAGAAGAGGAAAAUCCCUCAAAUUUGAAAUAAAAUACAACUUUAUUUUCAAAAUAAAUUCUCAAAACUAUUUUUAGUCCAAAAUUUAUUCUACCUAUGCUUUAAUUUGAAUUUUUUUUUUAAUUUUUCAAAAAUAGAAAAUCAUUUUAAAAAUUAAUUAUAACUUACCAUAAAGAACUGAUCUUCAAAUUUGAUCUAAUAUCAUGAUCCCUUUUUUGGUAUGAUCUCAAGUAUCUUGUUCUUAUCAUAUAUAAAAAAAAUGUUCUUAAAUUAAUACAAAAUGAUGAUAUGUCAUGUCACUUGAGAUACUUUCGAAAUGAUAGAAUAGAUAGAUUAGAAUUAGAAACCAGGAUCAUAGAAAUAAAAAAUUUAUUAUUAUGAAAAUCAAAGUCAACUUUUACAAGAAUCUUAUCCUUUUCUUACACAAUAUAUUAUGAUAGAUCUUCAAUAUUUUCACUUUUAUUCUUGCAUUCCAAACACUUCUAGAGAAUUUGCAUUCCAAAAUCAAAGCCAACAUUAGAGAACUUGUCACCUAGAAAGUUAGGUCUUUUUUAAUUCUCACAUUGAAGAAGCAUGGACCAUGUUUUUGUAUUUUAAUUAAAAUUGUUUCCAAUAAUUUUAUAUAGAUAUUAUCAGUCAUUCUGCUAGCUGGUCAUUGCAACCUCACAGCACAUGCCCACAUACUAAUAAAUAUCAGAAACUUCUUCCUAGCUAGGUAAUGUGGGGCAUGGCAAAUAAUUGAUAAAAAAUGAGAAGUCUUCAAUUCUUGGUGACCAAGAAAAACUUAGGUUAAAGCAACCACAGGAGUAGGAAGCAGAAGGCAACCAUCUGAUCAACAGUACUAUAAGUUGAGAACAUAGGCACACGUAUCAUUUGGUUUUUCUUGCUAUACAAGAAAAUCAUCCCAAUCCCAUUAUAAAUACAGAAUUAUCUUCACUCAAAUCUCAUCAUCAACCUUCUAUUUCAUAAUUUUUCAGACAUAGGAAGAGCAAAAACGAAAGAAGAAAAAAGACACGUAAAUCAUAACGGUAUUCUUUAUUAAUCUCAUCUUACACAUACAAACAUAUAUAUAUAAAGAAAAAUAAAAUUUUAACGUAAUUGAUAAUUGAUAUGAUUCCUAUGCUCACGGAAUACAUCAACACUCAAGAAUCUACUUCAUUUGACACGUAUAAGCAUAAAUAAAAAAAAACAAAAUUUUAAUAUAAUUGAUAAUUAAUAUGAUUCCUAUGUCCAUGGAAUGUUCCGAUACUUUAAGUUUGAAAUAUUAGGCAGGUACCAUAGUGUGGGGUUAUCCUAUUGUAUUUGCAUGCACCUCAAGACCCAAUACCUUGUGGCAUGACUUAGGUUAGAUAGUACAUUAUUUGGGAUAUCCAUGGUACAACCUAAUUACUUUGAUUUGUAGGAAUCUACAUAUAAUCUCAAUUGAUUUCAAACAAUUAAUUUGAUUUAGAAAAUUGAUGAGUUUAAUUACCAGGCACAUAAACUAUUUCUUCCACAAACAUAAUUGUGUCAUACAUCUUAUGGAUAAAUUACACUAGUGACUAUAAGACCAUGAUUAAAAUUUUUAUCCAAACAAUUAUAAAAAUUAUGGUUGAUAUUUAAACAAUUUUUUUUAUUAAUAAAAAAACUAUCCUAAAUGAGAUUUAAAGAAGGUAACAUCACUGAUUUGAUUGCCUCCGCUAUUGCAUUGUUACCUUACUUUUGUACUCAUCUAAGUCAAUUGCCCAACCAAAAUAAUGAUUUACUAUUCUUAAUGACCACACGACAUUCAUUAGUAGAUAAUGCGUCACACCUUCUUUGAAGAUGGGCAGGCUAAGGAAUAUUCUUAAACCAUAAGUAAUUUAAUUAUAGAAUAUUCAUUUAUAGAAACUCAGUCACACCAGUUAGCUAGGCAACAAAUCAUACAUUCUCAUUUGACUAUAAAUGAAAGUUAUAAUAGCUUCUAAACAUAUAUAUAUAUAUAUAUAUAUAUAUAUAUAUAUAUAUAUAUAUAUAUAUAUAUAUAUAAACAUAGUAAAGAUAUAGUUAUAAGUGAUGUUUGUUUUUUGGUUAAAUAGAAAAAGCCAAAUAUUUUGGUUUUUUCUAUUCAGUUAAAAGUAACUAAUUGACAUCAACCAACAUCAUUAAACUAAACUUAUUGAGAAUAAGUUCACUUUAAUUAUGUUGGUUAGUACCAAUAAGAUACUUUUAGCUGAAUAGAAAAAAUCAAAAUAUUUAGCUUUUUCUAUUCAGCCAAAAAAUAAAUACCAUUAUAGUGUUUUAAAUUCUUUAGUAGAUAACGAGGUAGGAUUAAAAAUAAUUAUUUUUCCCAUUCAAUUGAUUUGUGUUUGACAACUUUUUCUAAAUAUUUUUUUAUAUUAAAAAUAAGUGUAAUUUUGGUUUUUGUUUUUAUAAAAUUUAAUUUAAGAAAUAUUUACUUUUGACAUCAUGUUAUUUUCAAAUGUAAAUUCGAUCUGGGGUUUGUCAGCUUUAUUCAAUAUGGUUAAAAAUUACAUCUAAUUUUUGUAUAUUUUUCAAAUUGAGACUUUUAGUUCAUAUGAUAGUGAUUUUAGAAAAUCCUUAUAUUUUUUUUAAUAUUUAAUAUUUUUUAUCUUUUAAAUGUUAAAAAACUAAAAACACUUUCUAUAAUAUUAUCAAACACACUCAUAUCCAAUAUGUUUUUUUUUUCCACAUAUUUGAUCCACACUUCCAAUAAUUAUGGUCAAAGACACUCAUCGCUGAUAUGGUUUUUUAUGUACUUAUUUCAUCCUUUGUGUAUAUUUUUCGAAGUAUUAAAAAUACUUUCUAUAAUCACCGUUAAAUACACAUAUCCUAUAUGUUUUUUUUUUUAAAUAUUUGGUCACACUUCCUAUGACCACGGUUUAAGAGCCUCGUAUCCUAUAUGUUUUUUUUUACAAAUUUGGUCCCACCCUGUCUGUAUGUUCCCCGAAGCUUCCCACUUUCUCUAAAAAGAUUUAUUCUUAAACUCAAGGGGAACCAUGUCAUAUAUGAUUUGGCUUUCCUUGCUCUGCAAGUAAAUCAAAUCCACCUCCAUUUCUUAUUUCAAAUCUGCACUAUAAAUAGGGAAGCAUCGAACCCUAAUGUUUCAUCAAGUAUCUCACACUUCCUCUCAUUUCUAGUUUUCUCUCAGGAGAAAGAAGGGUGAAAAAUGGUGGUCUCAGCCAUACUAGAUUGCGUUGUUCCAUCAUCUUCCUCAUCCCAGGUCGUCGACUAUGCUGGUGGCUGGCCUUCCAUGGAGAAACCUAAGAGCAAGUCAUCAAAAUCUUCAAGGCUCCAAUCCUGGUCUUUCACUUCCCUGUUAACUCCUACCACUCUCGCCUGUAGUGGUUGAGUUAAUUGCUUGAGGAGUGAGAUGGAGUUUUGUUUUCAUUUACAGUUUGAUGAGUGAUUUGCAAUAACUUCAUACAAGAAUAUUGUAUGCAAUGAAAGAGCUAUUUUUGAUUGAAUGUUGGGUAUGUUUGAUGCCAUGAAAUUAAUUACCAGCAACCAAACAAGACAUGGAACCCUAGUUUGAAAAUUCAGAAACUAACAACAAAAGUUCAGUUGGGUAAUGAAUAGCAGUCAGUGAUGGCAUAUGGGUAAUAGUUAAUUAGAGUCACUAUUAAUUCAGGGUUUAGAGUUUAAAGUUUAUACUUAGUUGUUGGACACACAUAAAGAUCUAUAAAGAAUUCUUAAAAAAUCAUUUAAAAAUAAAUAAAACAAUAAGUUAUUUUAAUAUAAGAAAAAUUUUAAAAUGAUUAAUUUUUUUUAUAAUCAUUUUAAAAUUUAAAUAUUUUUAAUUUAUUUUUAAGCUUUUAAAAUGAGAAAAUAUCAAUUCUCGGAAAUUUUAAAACACUACAAAUAAUGUAAAUUGUUGGUGAUCGGAGAGCAAACUCCAACAUUAAAGACCUUUUCUCACUGAAGAUACUCUCUUUCCACACAAUGGUUGUUUUUUUUAACAGACUUGCCUAUUAAAAAAGGGUCAAACACCAUGUUGACAAAGGGGAGACUAAUGAUCUAAAAACUAAAAACAUUUUGUGCUGAAAAGCCCAGGAGAGGACUAAGCCAAAAAUUAAAUAUUUGGAAAGGGGAAAAUUUUAGGGGAUAUGUUGGAUAUCAAAUUUGUAAUCUUGGUAGUCAUUUGAAAUAUAUAAUGAAAUAUAAGUUGUUUGAUAUUUAUAGUUAUUUUCAUGAAUAAUGAUGGUCAUGAGGUCUUUUUGCGACGUCUAGGAAGCAAGCACGUGGAGUUAAAUAAGCAAAGUUGCAUGAGGCUUGGGGGUGCAAGCCUAUUUCGAUCAAUCCAAAGUUUGAGGCUGAUCGAGGGAAUUAGAGAUAUUCAAAUGAGUUCAAAUAUAUACAUAUUUUUAAAUUAUGUACUCAUUGAGGAUUAAUUUCAUACAUUUUCAAAAGAUUUGGAUGCCGUUUUCCUAGUUGAAAAUUUUGAAAUUUUUUUAAUGGAAAAUAAGAAAAAUGUUGAAAGAGCUUAUGUAACAUUUUUCCAAAAUACUACACUAGGAGGACACCACCUUAUAACUUGAUGUCAUUUUCCCAUUCCCUGGUGUCAUUUUGUGCUGAAGAUGAGCUAUGUACACCCCAAAAAAUGGCAAGGUCACUUUAUGCUCUACUACCAUUCCUCACUCCCUGCCACCAUUUCAUGCUAAAACUCCAAGACAAUAUGAGCCCACCAUUUUUGGACCUUUCGAGUUCACCAUUGGAUCUCUUAUAUUGUUUUUGAUACGUUAACGAGGUACUUAUGACACAUGGGAACACCUAUAUAAAGCCAUUUUGCAGUUAAUGAAGGGGGCGCCUUUGAGGAGAGCCUUUGGGCUACUAGCUUGGGGAGGAGACCAGCUUGUUCCAGCUUGCAUGCUUUAUUUGCUCGACGCUUUGCUCAUUUUAGUAAUUUGGUAAAGUUUUGAACUCACUGCUCUUGAUUAUACUUGAUUGUAACUACCAUUAAUAUUUGGUUUUGAAGUUGAAUUUGAAUGAUUGUAAUAGGUACUUUCUUAUGCUCUGAUUUUGUUCUUCACUUUGGUUAUAUUUUUGUGGCUUUUGAGUAGUAGUUUAGGUUGAGGAGAAGGGGGUUCUUAGGACCUCCAUUGUGUUUAUGAAAUGGACUCUUAAAUUCUAAGUGUUUGAUGAUACAGUCAGCAUGUGAGCUUUGUUUUUAAUUAGAAUAUCAAUAUUCCUUAAUAUUUGAAAAUUGAAGUUUGGGGGACCCUUAAGGGUAUCUUAAGUACUUAAUGGUUGAAAGUCAUUUUGACUUGAAAUGACUGUUAUUGAACCUCUAAUUAUUUGAUAACAAAUGGUAGUGGAAGCUUCAAUGUGAUAUCAUAUGGAGUUUCAAUUCACAAGUAUGAGACAUUGGGUUUGAUUAAAAUGUGCUUGUGUUGCAAAUCCUCUAACUAAGAAUACCUAUUGGUGACCUUAAUUGUGUCAAUUUCAUUAAGGGCUAUUUCAUGAAAACAAAGGAGUUCCAAGAGAUCUCCUAAUCCUUGACACUUUUUUAGCCUCCUGUUAAUAAUCUUUCCAAUUCCAUUGCACACCUAACAUCUUUUUCCUUUGGUUUGACUCUCUGACUCAUGGAGAUAUUAAAAUGGCAAUGUACUCCUUAUUGUUACAUACGCAUUACGAAGGAUGAAAAGUAUCCAAUUCUUGAAGACCAGGCAAAACUUGGUGAAUACUCCUAGAAGUAUCAGGUGGGUAACAUUAGAAGUCAAAAAGUUGUGAGAAACGGAAUUGAAAAUGACUUCCUCAAACUACGGUCAAAGCAGCCACAGGUACGUAGGAAACAGGAAGGAAUUUACCAUCUAAACAAAAUCACAAGCUGGGAAGAGGGGCAUGUACCAUCUGGCUUUCCUUGCUAUGCAAGCAAAUUAGCCCAACUUCCAUUAACUCCACUAUAAAUAAAGAACCAUCUUCAUUCAAAUCUCAUCACUACUUACACUUCAGGUAGCUCUUGGCCUCUCAAACCACUCACUUUCCUUGACUUCUGAUCAAAAGAAAAUAGGGAGAAUCAAGGGUGAUUCAACAAUGGUGUUCUCAGGCAUUUUAAGUUGUUUUCUGCUAUCAUCAUCAUCUUCAUCGCCUCGGGCGUCCGAUGAUGCUGGUGUGUUAAGCCCAAAGAAGCCUUCCACGGUGAAAGACAAGAGCAAAUCAAAAUCUUCGGGAGCUCCAAUUGUGGUGUCUUACUUCCCAGUGAACUCCAAUCUCUCUCGCUUGUAGUAGUACUAACUGAAUUGUAAGGAAAGAGGAGUUGAAUUCAAGAAGGGUACCAAUGGUGUUUAUUAAGUUCAAUGGUGUUAUGUGGAUCAGUUAAUGGGGUUUCUUGAUCAGCCAGUUGAGAAACCAGACCCUGGCGCAGUUGGUCAGGGAAGAAUAACACUGAAAAUAGUAAUAUCAGUUGUAUAUAUAGUUUGAUGAUUGGUUUUUAAUUUGAUUAAAGCAUGCAUAUGGUAUAAGAUCAUGGUUUCUUGAUUUGUUUUUUCUUAAGAUUUCUCCUAUAUCUUGUUCUCAGAUCCCUUUACCUUGUUUACCUCCUUUUCUGAAGUUCAGAUUUUCUUCAUCCAACACACUGAUAAGUGGCUCUGAGCCUGCCUAAUGACCUUGAAGAUCAAUGGGUUCUUCAUUUACUUUUCUUUUCGUCUAUGAGCAAUGAACUAGAGAUCAGUGAAUGAAAGAAAAAAAGGAAAUCUCAUAGAAAGUAUGCAACAUUGCUGAAGAAAAGAAGAUGAAGCUGUGAAUAUAUACGUAUAUUGAUCAGUUGAUGACAAUUCGAUCUAUUGAAGAUUUAAUUUAAACCUUACCAGAGCGAUCAAUUGAACUGCUAUUAACUAUUUGCUUGAGAAAAAACAAGGGCAUGUUUCCCAAUGUGGAUCCUAUCAGUUAGGUUACCUGGCCAUUUCAUGCUAAUAAAUAUCAGUAACAAAAUGUGAGGCAUUACAGAGAAUUGCUAAAGAUUAGUGAAAAGUCUUCAAUUCUUGGUGAGUAAGAAAAACUUAGAUUAAUGUUGCUAGAAGUAUUGGAGGUCAUAGAAGUAAGUCAAAGUUCUCAAGGAACUCAUGAGGAUGAAUUCCUCCGAGUAGGGUCAAAGCAGCCACAAGGGUAGGAAGCAGGAGGCCAGGAACCAUCCGAGCAAUACUAUAAUUUUCUCGGACUUGGGCAUAUAUCAUUUGGCUUUUCUUGUUAUGUAUACAAGAAAAUUAACCACCCCAAUCCCACUAUAAACACAGAAUCAUCUUCACUCAAAUUUCAUCAUCAACCUUCUGGAUCAUAAUUUUCUCGGACAAGGAAGAGCAGAAGCCAAGCCAAUUACAAUGGUGUUUUCAACCAUCUUGAGUUGUUUCUCGCUUAGUGAACUGGUGAAAUCUAACAGCAAAUCAUCAAAACCUUCACAAGCUCCAAUACUGGUUUCUUACUUCCCUGUCAGCCUUCAUCUCUAGCUUGUAGUACUUUAAUUACGAAGGAGAGAUCAUCUGCUGAAUCAUAAUGGCAGAAACGGUUUAUUCAUCUGGUAUAUUGAUCAACUCAUGGGGUUUUUUGAUGUAUAAAUUCAUUAAUUCACGAUUGAUUUGUAAAUUAAUUUGAUUGAAGCACACAUAUUAUAUAAGAUUAUUGUUUCUUGAUGAUAAUUAAGCUAAUCAUCAUAUAUACCUUUCCUUACUAUAGAAAAACCAGAUAUUAGGGCUUGUUUGGAAACAAUUCUGAAAAAUAUUUUUUGAGAACAAGUUUUAAAAAUUGUUUUAGGAUAUUUUGUAGAAAAAAAUUUAUUUUAAAACUUGAAAUGUUUUUAAUAUUUUUAAAAUAAAUUUUAUAAUUAUUUUUUAAAAUAGCUUUAAAAAAUAUAAGUGAAAACAACUAAAAAAUGUUUUAUGGAAAUAUUAUGUUUUCUAAUUGUCAAACGUGUUUUCUAGUUUUUUGUUUCUGAAAAACGAAAAUUGUUCUCCAAAACAAUUGCUAAACAAGCUUUAGGUGGUAUUUGUUUUUUUACUUAAUUCUAAAUAGAAUAUUAAUACUUAUUAGUAUUAAAUAUUAGGUUGUUUGUUUUUAUAGUAUUUUAUUUCUAUUAAGUAUUAAAAAAUAAAAAAACACCAUUGUGUUAUUUUUUCUAUUUAGAAAAAGCCACAUAUUUUGACUUUUUCUAUUUAGUAAAAAGUUUAUAAUAAGUCAUGAAAAAGUAAAAAAACAAACAACCUAAAUUUUAAAACUAAAUGAUUUUAAGCAAAAAAUCAAAAAAACAAACACCGCCUUAGUCUACUUCAAUCCUCAUUUGUAAUUAUCUUGAUUAAUAAUAUUGUGGUACCUUUGGCUAUUACCAGUUGGGACGCUUGACCCAAUAUUUGAUAGUAGAGUUCUAAUUAAUAUAUAAUUAAAAUUUUCUAAUUAUGUUUAAUUUAAUGAUGGGAUAUUAUUGAACAACAUCAUAAAAAAAUUUAAUAUUAACUAGAUUUAUCAAUUAAAAUAUUAAUAGCAUUAUCAUUUUUAUAUAUUAUUCUUCUAUGUCAUAUACCUUGAUGCCGUGAUGAAUACUUCUAUUAUUACGGAACUUGAUAAAGUCGAAAAAUAUUGUUAUAUACCGAGAGUGACUUUCUUCCUCCAUGGUCAAAGCUGGCACAUGCCAUAGAAAGUGGAAGCUCAAGAGCAACAUGGGUACUUAUAUCAUUUGACUAAGAUAAAAUUAAUUGAGAUAAAUAUUAAUAAAAUUAAAAAAGCAGGUAAAUAUGUCAAUUUGAUAAUUAAAAAAUAAAUUAAUUUUAUCGAAUAAUAAAAAUCAAAUAAUAAAUUUUAAGUUUAUAAUUUAAGAAUAAUUUAAUUUAAAAUUAAUUAAAUUAUUAAAUAUAAGUAUUAAAUUUGACCAAAAUAUCAUUUUCACCUCGCCUUGAUGAAGCCAUUAAGUAUUUAACAUUAGCCAUUGAUUUCUUUUUGGAUCAUUUUGAAACCCAAUGAUGUUGGAGGGAUGUUGAUGAUUUAUUGUUUGGUAUAUUUUAAGGUUUAAAGGAUAAAUAGUAGUACUGAAUACUUCCUACUAUCCUGACCAGUUCUUAAAGUCCAAAUGAAUUGAAAAUCUUGUGACACUGAAAGUGACUUUCUUCCGAAAUGGUCAGAGCAGCCACAACUGAUGGAAAUUCAAAGGAUCCAACUCACAAUUUUCACAAGAAACAUGGUCAGUUGGACUUCAAAUUGCUUUAUAUUCAAGAUAUUAAGAGCUCGAUAGGUUUGCAUCGCAGAAACAAACAAGUGAUUUUAGCACCGAGUAAUACUUGACUUCAUUAGAAGAGUAGGCAUGCAACGGUCCAUUGCUUUUUAGAGCAUCAAUACAUUGUCGGAUUGCCCUCACGUAGGAUGUCUUAUUUUUCCAAAAUAUAAAUAAAUCCCAUUAAUUAGGAAGAAAGCUUGAGAAUCACGUCUAAAGGAGACUUAGUUAAUAUAUAUGUUUUUCUUCAUUGGUUUGGUCCCACCCUCUAUUUGUUUGUUCCCUGAAGCUGGUUAGACUAGUCAAAAUUUGAAAGGUGGUGUAAUUUGACAUGACUGUACUUCAAAGACAUGGACGCCACCGCACCAAAGUUUAGUUGUUGGGUCUUUUUGUAUAGUCGGAUUAAUCCACUUGCUGCCACGAUUCUCACAGGAAGGUCCAGGGAAUUGACCAUCUCAUAUAUUUAUCAUUUAUCUUUCCUUGCUAUGCAAGUAAAUCAACCCUACUUCCAUUUCAAAUCUGCUGUAUAAAUAGAGAAGCAUCUUAGCCUAAUAUUUCAUCAAAUAUCAGACACUUUCUCUGCAGGCAAAUUAAGAAGGGUUAAAAAUGGUGUUCUCAGCCAUAUUAAGUUGUUUUGUUCCAUCUUCUUCCUCGACCCGAGUCUUCAAUGAUGCUGGUGGGUCUAGUGUGAAGGAACCUAAGAGCAAGUCAUCGAAAUCUUCAUCAAGAGCUCCGAUCCCGGUCUCUUACUUCCCUGUUAACUCCUACCUCUCUCGCUUGUAGUGAUUAAUUUCAUGGCAAGGUGGAGUUAGAAUUUGAAGAAUAUCAAUCGAUUAUUCAUUCAGUCUAGGUAUGAUAUGAUGGGGUUCCUCAUCAUGCAGUUGCUUGAGGAGUGAUGAUGGAGUUUGUUUUAAUGUACAGUUUGAUGAUUAAUUUGCAAUAAUUAAUUUCAAGAAUAUUGUUGAUUUCCUCCAAUUGCAUGCAAUGAAACAGCUCUUUUUAAUGUAAGUCGGGUGCGAUGAUACCAUGAAAUUACCUGCAACCAAAUAAGACAUUAACCCCAACUGAAUUUUCUUGUUGUUUCUGAAUUUGAUCAGUAAAGGAGGAAGUCUUAAAAAAGCCUAUGGAAAAUGACCCCACCAUUUUGGAGAAACACUAGGUGAAAUUUGAUCCACAGAAUGAAGAUCAGGUAUUCAUGGUGGGAUUUGCCUUAUGGUCCAUGACGAUAAAAGCUUAUUAUUCUUCUAUGCAUGCACCAAAGAAAAAGGGAAAAUUAAGCCGCCUUACUUUGCCUUUUUAUUCUCCUAAAAAGUCUGCAAUAUGCGCCUCAAAUCCAACCUAAGUGUCUCUGACACCCUCUUUCUGUCCAUCCAUUAAAAGGUACUAACUUUAAAAUUGUGAUAUCUCACAUAUUAUAGAAAAAAAGUUUGAUUUUAAUCUUGUAUAUAUAUUUUAAAGUUGUGAGUAUCUCUCGAACUUUAAUGAACAAUAUCUACGCAAGAGAUGACAAAUUAUUAUAAAUUAUAUUAGAGUUAAUUUCCUAUCCAAUGAAAGUUUAUUUGACCUUGUAAAUGAUUUUUAUCUUUUUGUUAUCACAAUUCUAUGCAUUAUAAUGAGGACGUUGCGUCCAUUUGAAGGUACGCUAUAUAUGUAUUGAUUCUUCUUCAUUUUAUAAGCAUUUUUUAAAGUCAUGAGUGUUUAUGAGGCACAAAAUGGAUCACUACAAAUAAUAAAAUAUUAAAGAAAAGACAAAAAGGGAACUUCGAACAACUUAUGAAGAUCAACAAUAUAUACUAGACCGUUAACAUUAUCUAUUUAUCUUUGAAUCGAGCAAGCAACAGUGAUUGACAUGCUUGUUGGUGGGACCUAAUUCAACAAUGAAUUGUUUUUUUUGAUAGGAAACAAUGAAUUGUAUUACCACAUAUUUUAAUACUUAAAGUUUCUAUAAUUAAUUAGUCUUUGAAAAUGAUACAUAUUUAUUGUAGAGGCUACAACAAAAGCCUCUGCAAUUAUUUUUAAGAGAAAUUAUUUAAGGGAUUUUUUGUAAUAAGAACAUGAAAUAAUAAUUUAUUUUAUUUUUCAAAAAAGCGUCUAUUUCAUAAAUUAAUUUUAGUGAUUUUCUAGAUUUUUAAAAAUUUACUGAGCACAAUAUUAAAAACUUUUGUAUUCUAGGGAAGUCAUGAGACUUGGUCAAGAUAUGGAAUAUGGGAUGACGUUAAGCCUGAGAAAGAAAAUAUAAUUUCCCGGAAAGUAAAAGUAGGAUGUCUAAGGAAGAAAGCAUGAGAAUCACAUUGGAUGAUUAGUUUUAUUUAAUCUUAUUCCAAAGGAGACUUUAGCUAAUAUGUUUUAAUUUUCUUCAUUGUUUUGGUCCCACCCUCUAUUUGUUUGUUGCCUAGAGCUUCCCAUUUUUGCUGAAAGGUUUUCUUCUUCUGUGUCAGACUAAUCAAAAUUUCAAAGGUGGUGUAAUUUGACACGACUUUCUUCAAAGAUUCGGGCCCUAGUGUACAAAAGCUUAGUUGUCGGGUCUUUUUCUAUAGUCAAAUGACUCAGAUCAAGGUAGCAGCAGCUGCCACGAUUGUCACAGGAAGCUCAAGGGAAUCAACCAUCUGAGAUAUUUAUAGUUUAGCUUUCCUUGAUAUGCAAGUAAACCAACCCUACUUCCAUUUCAGAUCUGCAUUAUAAAUAGAGAAGCAUAUGUUAGCCUAAUAUUUCAUCAAAUAUCACACACUUUCUCUCUUUUCUAGUUUUCUGAUCAGGCAAAUUAAGAAGGGUUAAAAAUGGUGUUCUCAGCCAUACUAAGUUGCUUUGUUCCAUCAUCUUCCUCGUCCCGAGUCUACAAUGAUGCUGGUGGGUCUAGUGUGAAGGGACCUAAGAGCAAGUCAUCGAAAUCUUCAUCAAGAGCUCCGAUUCCGGUCUCUUACUUCCCUGUUAACUCCUACCUCUCUCGCAUGUAGUGAUUAAUUUCAUUGCAAGGUGGAGUUAGAAUUUGAAGAGUAUGAAUGGAUCAUUGAUUCAGUCUAGGUAUCAUAUGAUGGGGUUCUUCAUCAUGCAGUCGCUCAAGGAGUGAUGACGGAGUUGGUUUUCAUGUACAGUUUGAUUGAAGAAUAUUGUAUUAGAUCUUCAUCUUGUUAAUUUCCUCCAACUGCAUGCAAUAAACAGUUCUUUUUAAUAGAAAGUUGGGUACGAUGAUACCAUGAAAUUACCUGCAACCAAAUAAGACAUCAGCCCCUACUAUGAAAAUUAAGAAACACACAAAAAAGUUCAGUUGGGGUUUCCAUUGGAAAGAAUCGGUACUUGAAAUAUUGGCAAUCAGUGAUUACCAUAUGUAUAACUGCUAAGUAAACCCUAGAAUCAGUUAGGGUUUACCAUCAUCGAAGACAAAGGUUGUUCGUAUCAUAUAUUAAGCAAAAACUACUUACAUCAUACAGAAGAUAAUCAGUAAGGGAAGAAGUCUUAAAAAAAGAAAAGGAAACUGAACCUACGAUUUUGGAGAAAUUAGGGUGUAAUUUGAUCCACAAGGUGAUGACUGAUGAGUAGAUAUGCAUGGUGGGAUUUGCCCCAGCGGUCCAUGAUGAUAGAAGGCUAUUAUCCUUUUACACAAGCACUAAAAGAAAAAGGAAAAAUUAAGCCGCCAUGCUUUGUCUUUUCAUCCGCCCAAAAGUCUUGCAAUAUGCACCUCAAAUCAAACCUAAGAGUAUCAAUCACUCUCUUUCUCUCCAUCCAUUAAAAAGUAUUAAUUUCAAACUUGUGAUAUCUCACAUUGUAGGAAAUAAUAGCCUAAUAUUAUAUAUGUAUAGGUUUUUUAAUUUUGUACAUGUACUUUAAAGUUGUGAAUAUUGUUGAACUUAAAAUGGAUAAUAUCUACAUGAAAAAGAGUAAGUCAUUACAAAUGAUAUUAAAAUUGAUCAUCAAUCUUAAUGUGAGAGUUUAUUUGACCCUGCAAUGAAUCUUUUUAUUUCUAUGAUCCUAUGAGAUACCACAAAGAUAUUGUGUACUCAUAUGAGGGUGCGUUAUAUAUGUAUUGAUUCUUCUUCUUCUUAUAAAUAAAUUUUAAAGUUGUGAGUGCCUAUGAGACCCAAAGCGGAUUAGUACAAAUAUUUAUAUAGACUUACAUUUAAAUCUAAUAAAAUAUUAUUUGUUAUAUUAAAAUAAAUUGUUGUUUUUUUAAAUGAAUUGGAAAUAUUUUGAAGUGUUUGUUUAUAAAGAAUUUUAAUAAAUAAUUGAAGAUAUGAAGAUUGAUUGUAGGGGACUCCUGACAUGUGUUCAACAUUUCAAAUAUUGGCGAGUACCUAAGAUAUUUAUUUGAUAUUAUUCCAAAGGAGACUUUAGCUAAUAUGCUUUAAUUUUCUUAAUAGUUUUGGUCCCACCCUCUAUUUGUUUGUUCCCUAGAGCUUCAUAUAUAUAUAUUAGACUAGUCAAAAUUUGAAAGGUAAUAUAAUUUGACAUGAUUUGUCUUCAGACUUGGACGCUACAUUCCCCCUGUACAAAAGUUUGACUGUUAAUUCGGUUUUUUUCUAUAGUCAGAUUAAGCUGGCAGCAGCCGGCACGAUUGUCACAGGAAGCGCAAGGGAAUUUACCAUCUCAUAGAUUAAUCAAUUAGCUUUCCUUGCUAUGCAAGUAAAUCAACCCUACUUCCAUUUCAUAUCUGCAUUAUAAAUAGAGAAGCAUAUGUUAGUCUAAUAUUUCAUCAAAUGUCACACACUUCCUCUCAUUUCUAGUUUUCUCAGGAAAAUUAAGACGGGUUAAAAAUGGUCUUCUCAGCCAUAUUAAGUUGCUUUGUGCCAUCAUCUUCCUCGUCCCGAGUCUUCAAUGAUGCUGGUGGGUCUAGUGUGAAGGAACCUAAGAGCAAGUCAUCGAAAUCUUCAUCAAGAGCUCCGAUCCCGGUCUCUUACUUCCCUGUUAACUCAUACCUCUCUCGCUUGUAGUGAUUAAUUUCAUGGCAAGGUGGAGUUAGAAUUUGAAGAAUAUCAAUCGAUUAUUCAUUCAGUCUAGGUAUCAUAUGAUGGGGUUCUUCAUCAUGCAGUUGCUUGAGGAGCGAUGAUGGAGUUUGUUUUAAUGUACAGUUUGAUGAUUAAUUUGCAAUAAUUUGAUUGAAGAAUAUUGUAUUAGCUAGAUCUUCAUCUUGUUAAUUUCCUCCAACUGCAUGCAAUGAAACAGGUGUUUGAUGAUACCAUGGAAUUACCUGCAAAUAAAUAAGACAUCAAAACCAAUCUGAAAAUUCAGAAACAGCAAAAAAUUAAGUUCAGUUGGCCGGGGAUUCCAUUGGAAAUUAAGAAUCGGUACUUGAAAUGGAAAUUAGUGAUUACCAUAUGGAUAACAGCUAAUAAAACCCCAGAAUCAAUUAGGGUUUAUCAUCAUAUAUUAAGCAAAAACUACGUGCAUUAUACAGAUGAUGAUUGGUAAAGGAAGAAGUCUUAAAAAUGCAUGCCAAUGGAAAAAUUAGGGUGAAAUUUGAUCAACAGAGUGAUGAUUAGGUAUGCAUGAUGGGAUUUUCCCAAUCCGUCCAUGAUGAUAAAAGCCUAUUAUUCUUGUAAACAUGUACUAAAAGAAAAAGGAAAAAUUAAGCCCUCCUACUUUUCCUUUUCACCCCCCAAAAAGUCUCCACUAUGCACCUCAAAUCAAACCUAAAAAUCUCUAUCACUCUCUUUGUGUCCAUUGGUUAAGAAGUACUAAUUUCAAUAUUGUGAUAUCUCACAAGUAUAGAAAAAAAGUUUUUAACACUAUAUAUACACGAACUCCUUUUAAUCUAAUAAAGUCAUGAGUAUCUGUCAUACUAAGAACAAACAAUAUCUAUGUGAGAGAAAAAAAGUUGUUAUAAAUAGUAUUAGAGUUUAUCUUUGAUUUCGUUGUAGAAGUUUGUUUGACCCCACGAGGGGUAUCUGUUUCUUUAAUCCCACAAUCCUACUGAACAUAGUUAAGACGUUGUAUUCGUAUGAGAGUCUAUUCAUGUAUUAAUUCCUCUUAACCUAAUACACUACUUAUAAAGUUGUGAGUACGUAUUAAACUUAGAAUAUGUACUCAUAGUAGGUCAUUACAAAUAUUUAUGCGGACUUACAUUUAAAUCCAAUAAAAUAGUGUUACACAAAUAUUAUAUAAGUAUGAAACACACUCUCAUUUGAGUAUAUAUAUAUAUAUAUAUAUAUAUAUGUACACUACCGAAUAAUGGUUCCUUAAUUUGAUUAUAUGUCUAAACUAGACAAUUGAUAAAAAAAAUACUUUGAAAUGAAAUUGAUGUAAAAGAAAAUAAUGAGUUAUAUAAAGAGUAAUUAAUGCGACCUUUGGCCUUAUAAUUAAGUAUGGUUAAAUUACAUUUUUUAAUUCUCUUAGUAUGUGAGACCCAAAUUAUUGAAUAUUUUUUUAGGUUGUUAUUCAAUUGAUGAGAAUGACAAAUUUAUGGCUACCAACAAUGAUGUUUAUUAUUUAAAGCUACUCAUUUUGAAGAAGUCGCAUACCAAUCCUUAAACUAAAUCAAUUAGGUCUUAACUACUUUUUUAUUUAAUUUUUUUUUUGUAAUGAGUUGGUCAACACUGAAGCCUUAAUUUUAUGUUUGAAAACUUUAUUUUAAAUACACUUCUAUUAAAAAUAAGAAUAAUGUUAGUAUAUUUAAUAGUUAUUACUACUUUGGUCCCACUCUGGAUGUGUUCGUUCUCUGAAGCUUCCCAUUUUCUCUCGAAGGUAAUUUUUGUCUAAUGUCUCUCUAAGUUUUGAAAAGUUUUCUCAAAGACUUGGCCACCACAUCCCCCCUGGACAAAAGUUUAAUUUGGUCAAAUUAAGCAGCCAGAAUUUUCUCCAGAAGCUCAAGGGAACCAUCUCACAUAUUAUUUGGAUUUCCUUUCUAUGCAAGCAAAUCAGCACUAUAAAUAGCGAACAUCUUGGCAUAAUGUUUCAUCGGUCAUACUUCCUCUCAAUAUUUCUGGUUUUCUCAGACAAAUUAAGAAGGGUGAAGAAUGGGGUUCUCAGCUAUACUAAGUUGCUUUGUGCCAUCAUCUUCCUCAUCCCGAGUCUUCAAUGAUGCUGGUGGGUCUAGUGUGAAGGAACCUAAGAGCAAGUCAUCGAAAUCUUCAUCAAGAGCUCCUAUCCCUGUCUCUUACUUCCCCGUUAACUCCUACCUCUCUCGCUUGUAGUGAUUAAUUUCACUGCAAGAGUUAGAAUUUGAAGAGUAUGAAUGGAUCAUUGAUUCAGUCUAGGUAUCAUAUGAUGGGGUUCUUCAUCAUGCAGUCGCUCAAGGAGUGAUGAUGGAGCUGGUUUUCAUGUAUUGUUUGAUGAUUAAUUUGCAAUAAUUUGAUUCAAGAAUAUCGUAUUAGAUCUUCAUCUUGUUAAUUUCCUCCAACUGCAUGCAAUGAAACAGCUGUUCGAUGAUACCAUGGAAUUACCUGCAAACAAAUAAGACAUCAAUCCCAAUUCUGAAAAUUCAGAAACAAGAAGAAAUUAAGUUCAGUUGGGGUUUCCAUUGGAAAUUAAGAAUUGGUACUUGAAAUGGCAAUAAGUGAUAACCAUAUGCGUACAGCUAGUUAAACCCCAGAAUCAGUUAGGGUUUAUCAUCAUGUAUUAAGCAAAAACUACUAAUUACAUUAUACAGAUGAUGAUCUAAAAGGAAGAAGUCUUAAAAGCCUAUUAUUCUUGUUUCCACAUGCACUAAAGGAAAACGGAAAAAUAAAGCCACCUGCUUUGCCUUUUCAUUCUCCCAAAAGUCUCCAAUAUGCACCUCAAAUCAAACCUAUGAAUCUCUGUCACUCUCUUUCUCUCCAUUAGUUAAGAAGUACUAAUUUCAAUACUGUGAAAUCUCACAAAUAUAGGAAAAAAUUUCCUAAUGCUAUAUAUACAUGAAUUCCUUUAAAUUUUAUAAAUUCAUUUUGAAGUUGAGUACCUUUUAAACUUAGAACGAGAACAAGUUGUUAUAAAUAGUAUUAAAGCCGAUCUUUGACCUUAUGUGAGAGUUUGUUUGACUCUAUAAGGGAUAUUUGACUUCUUUUUUUUUGUUCCACAAACUUAUGAAACAUAAUGAAAACAUUGUAUUUGUAUGAGAAUAUGUUAUUUAUGUAUGGACUUCUCUUAACCUGGUAUGAAACUUUUGAAGUUAUGAGUAUUUAUUGAACUCCGAGUAAGUUAUUAUAAAUAUUUAUGCAGACUUAUAUUCAAAUCCAGUAAAAUAGUGGGGAAAAGAUAAAAAACAUAACUUCAAUAUUAUUUGUUACACUUUUGGACUCAUGACCUCCUAUUGCAUAAACCUGAUUUUAAUAUACCAUCUUAAGUUAUUAAUUUUUUUAAAUACAUAAAUUGUUAGGUAAUAGACUAGUGAUGUAUCGGCUCUAACAUGUUGGACUUAUCUUUAAAUUGAACAUGUCCAACAUACUUGUUAGUGGAACCUAAUUAAUUGUUCAUUUGAAAGUGUCUUUUCCAUUCAUCUAAAACGUGCACAGUAAAUUCACAAACCCACCAAACUUGAUGGAACCAUUGGCUGAACAUACCAACUAUAUGUUAGCUAGCUUGCUCUUCCUUUCUCUACAUGGUAAGUAACAAAGGGGUAUUUAAUGUUUUAAUUAAAGUCAUUAAAUUUGGUAACUUCGCUGUUACAAAGAUCAACAACAAAAGUACCAAGAUUCAUAAAUAAGUUCAUCAUUUUCUUGUUCUUAGCAUUUGUAUCUAAGUGAAGCUAUGAAAAGAGUUCAAUUCUUUGUUACCCCACAAACCACAAUCAUUUUUCUUGCUAUUAGCAUCACUUCUAAUAAGUCAAUGUUGCCAUAACUCUUUCGGGUGUUCUACACUUUUAAAACUGCAUUGAUUUUUUUUUUUUUUUUUAAUUAUGAGUUUCUUUGUUCUCUAAAAUAUGGGUGAAUUAUACUAAGAAGUAUAAAUUCAGGAUUGAGAUUUAUAUCUAAAAAUUCAUAAAAGUUACAUUUGAUUUUUAAAAUAAUGCUUUUAGUAUUUUAAAAACUUUGCCAAUUGGGUUUAAAAAUUAGGCCAUUGAUAAAAAAAAUAUAAGGUUAAAAAAAAGAGAGUUAUAUAUAAAGUAGUGAGACCUUAUUUGACCUUACAAUUAAGUGUGGUUAAAUUACAUUUUUUAAUCCUUUUGGAAUGUAGAGACCCAAAUUAAUGAACAUUUUUUUAAGGGUGUUAUUCAAUUUAUGAGAAUGGCAAAUUUCCGGCUACCAACAAUGAUGUUUAUUAUUUAAGGCUACUAAUUUUGAAGAAGUCAACCACCAAUCCUUAAACUAAAUCAAUUAGGUCUUAACUACUUUUUUUCUUUAAUUUUUCUUGUAAUGAGUUGGUCAACCCUGAAGCCUUAAUUUUAUGUUUGAAAACUUUAUUUUAAAUACACUUCUAUUAAAAAUAAGAAUAAUGUUACCACCAUGGAUGUGUUUGUUCUCUGAAGCUUCCCAUUUUCUCUCAAAGGUAAUUUUUGUCUAAUGUCUUCCUAUUAUGAUUGUAUGUAAGAGUCUAAGUUUUGAAAAGUUUUCUCAAAGACUUGGCCACCACAUCCCCCGUGGACAAAAGUUUAAUUUGUCAAAUUAAGCAGCCAGAAUUUUCUCCACAAGCUCAAGGGAACCAUCUCAAAUAUUAUGUGGAUUUCCUUUCUAUGCUACCAAAUCAGCACUAUAAAUAGAGAGGCAUCUUGGCCUAAUACGUCAUCGGUCAUACUUCCUCUCAAUAUUUCUAGUUUUCUAAGGAGGGUGAAGAAUGGAGUUCUCAGCCAUACGAAGUUGCCUUGUGCCAUCAUCUUCCUCAUCCCGAGUCUUCAAUGAUGCCGGUGGUCUAUUGUGAAGGAACCUAAGAGCAAGUCAUCAAAAUCAUCAGCAAGAGCUCCGAUCCCGGUCUCUUACUUCACUGUUAACUCCUUCCUCUCUCGAUUGUAGUGAUUAAUUUCAUUGCAAGGUGGAGUUAGAAUUUGAAAAGAAUAUCAAUGGAUCAUUGAUUCAGUCUAGGUAUUAUAUGAUGGGUUCUUCAUCAUGCGGUUGAUUGAGAAGUGAUGAUAGAGUUUGUUUUUCAUGUACUGUACUUUGAUGAUUGAUUUGUAAUUUGAUUCAAGCGCAUUAUGUUAGAUCUUCAUAUCGUGAAUUUCCUCCUACCGGCUGCAAUGAAACAGCUGUUUUAAUACAAAUAAUUAAGACAUCAACCCCAGGUCGAUUUUGUCAUAAGUACUUUUUCAGGUGUUCUAUACUUUUUUGAAAGCGCGGACACGACAUUUCUUGAGAGAAUUAAAAUUAGAGUCAAAGCCGUCUCAACGCAAACGUCAUCCAUUAGAG
rnacentral:lncRNA from 1 species